UGCGGCCUUCCCCGCCCCCUCCCUCCCUCCUCCCCCGCCCGCUUCCGCCCGGCUUAUUAUCCUCCUUAUUGACAAACAGAGCGGUCGCGGCGGCGACUCUCGGCGUGCGGUGAUAGCCAAGCCAUGGGAGACAAGAAGAGCCCCACCAGAUCCACAUUGUUUGAAGUUAUUGUGAGUGCCUCGAGGACCAAGGAACCGUUGAAAUUUCCAAUUUCAGGAAGUUCCAGUGGAUGCCCAUCAGGAAGAUUCUCAUGCUGAACAGAAGGGCAAGAGAGGUGGAUCUGUGAGGGAAAAGACCCAAUAGGAUAACUCAAGUUACUGGAAACCUCGACCUGUCUCCCAGUUGGUUGCACAGCAGGUUACUCAGCAGUUUGUGCCUCCUACACAGUCAAAGAAAGAGAAAAAAGAUAAAGUAGAAAAAGAAAAAAGUGAAA
rnacentral:lncRNA from 1 species